rnacentral:rRNA from 1 species
UACGAAGGGUGCAAACGUUGCUCGGAAUUAUUGGGCGUAAAGCGCACGUAGGCGGCUAUCUAAGUCGGAUGUGAAAUCCCUCGGCUUAACCAAGGAAGUGCACCCGAAACUGGAUAGCUUGAGUACAGAAGAGGAUCGCGGAAUUCCCGGUGUAGAGGUGAAAUUCGUAGAUAUCGGGAGGAACACCAGUGGCGAAGGCGGCGAUCUGGGCUGAUACUGACGCUGAGGUGCGAGAGCGUGGGGAGCAAACAGG